rnacentral:rRNA from 1 species
UACGGGGGGGGCAAGCGUUGUUCGGAAUUACUGGGCGUAAAGGGCUCGUAGGCGGCCAACUAAGUCGGACGUGAAAUCCCCAGGCUCAACCUGGGAACUGCGUCCGAUACUGGUUGGCUUGAAUCCGGGAGAGGGAUGUGGAAUUCCAGGUGUAGCGGUGAAAUGCGUAGAUAUCUGGAGGAACACCGGUGGCGAAGGCGACAUCCUGGACCGGUAUUGACGCUGAGGCGCGAAAGCCAGGGGAGCAAACGGG